UACGAAGGGGGCUAGCGUUGCUCGGAAUUACUGGGCGUAAAGGGCGCGUAGGCGGCACUGUUAGUCAGGCGUGAAAUUCCUGGGCUCAACCUGGGGACUGCGCUUGAUAGGGCAGAGCUAGAGGAUGGAAGAGGCUCGCGGAAUUCCCAGUGUAGAGGUGAAAUUCGUAGAUAUUGGGAAGAACACCGGUGGCGAAGGCGGCGAGCUGGUCCAUUACUGACACUGAGGCGCGACAGCGUGGGGAGCAAACAGG
rnacentral:rRNA from 1 species